rnacentral:rRNA from 1 species
CCUACGGGAGGCUGCAGUGGGGAAUAUUGCGCAAUGGGCGGAAGCCUGACGCAGCGACGCCGCGUGGGGGAUGACGGCCUUCGGGUUGUAAACCUCUUUCAGCAGGGACGAAGCCGCGAGGUGACGGUACCUGCAGAAGAAGCACCGGCCAACUACGUGCCAGCAGCCGCGGUAAUACGUAGGGUGCAAGCGUUGUCCGGAAUUAUUGGGCGUAAAGAGCUCGUAGGCGGUUGGUCGCGUCGGCUGUGAAAACCCGGAGCUCAACUCCGGGCCUG